UGCAAUGAGCAAAAGGGUCCCCCCGGAAACCGCUCUGGUCACGAGGGAGGCCCGGGCCAGGCAGCCUGAAGCGCCGAGGCCCGGAACAAGCUUAUGAUGCAACAACCUUGUGAAAUAGGUUUGUACUAUGGAGUUCCAUACUUGAUGGGUGAGGGGUAUGUACCUUCCUCCAUGAGUUCCAGGGCUGGAAUCCCAGAUAAGACUAUGGACAGCGAAGAUUUGCAAAGGGCCAGGGAUCAGAGAGGAGACCACUGCUAAUGCUGCAUCCUACCUACAGAUUCCCAGGCAGAGCAUCACAGAGGAAUGAAGAGAAAACAGACAGAGGAGCCAAGCCAGAGAUCCCAUGUGGUUUAAUAUCAGGAGGGCUGUGGGGUGGGGAGCAGGACAAUCUCAAGAAUAACACUUUCACCAAGUGGGUGAAAUGAAACAGGAUCCAGACAUGAUUCUUUACAUUGACAAUCACAUUGAAAUUUUCAAAAUACAAGCAGCAGUUUGAAUUAAAUGUAUCUUCUUAAAAAACAACAACAAAAGACAAAAAACAGAAACAAAAACAAACAGUGCCCCAGCCACGAUCCACAGAGGGGUGGUGCUAGAAGCCAGGUACAGGCUCAGAACCAGCCUCCAAGGAGGCCCCCCCUGCCAGCUCAAUGACUUGACAGAGGAAAUAUGAACGGGGCCCCUGUGGGGGAGGUGGUAAGAUCCUGGCUUCUGUCCCAGUAGCCUCUGUAUCAUAAAUGCAGCUGGGCAUCACUUGUCCAUUGCCCUAAAGGCCCACAUAGCACACCAGCACAUGGUGGCAGGGAGAGUCUUGCUGGGUCCCAGGGGGAUAAAAUGUCACUUUUCCUCCUCCUUUUUUUGAGAAUCAAGUCCUUUCACGGGCUCUCCUAUUGUGGCUGACCUUCCAGUGAAGCUCACUCCUUUGCUCCUGAAACCACUCCGGGCUGACAAUUCCUUUGGUGGGGUUUUCCCCACCCCAUUUUUUCUCUGUUCCUUCAAGCUGCUCCAGGAGAGGGCAGGAGGAACCGGGGGGGGGGGGCAGGCCACACUCCCACCCUACUAUUCUCUCCCCUUCCUGCAGAUGAGAGAAGGGAGAAUGGGAAGCUUCACUUCUUCAUUAUCAGGUUGAGAUGGAUAACUAUGGUAAAAGCAAAACAAAGGCGUUCCACACAAAAUAAAACAUGGAAAGGAACAACCAGAGAAUUCUGGAUUAAAAAAAAAA